UAAAAAGGUGUCACUUAACACAUUGAUUUUUAAUCGGAAAGCUUAAAACGUAAAAAUUGCCUUUAAAAUUGACGUCGAGUGUUAGUUGAUCCUAGUUGGUGUGUUGAUCCUUUUGACGUUCAAGAGCUGCCUAUGUUCGAGGACCUCAUUUGUUCAGUUUUUCUCGCAAGAGGUGAGCAAAUAUGGUGCUGGUGGAUAAACUAAUGAACGCCAGCCGUGGAAAAACGCAGACACAGUGGAGCCUCUCAGGAUGGCCUGCCAAGGGAGAAGCUCCCCCUCAUCGAAGUCCCACUGUAGUGCACAUUUACUCGAAUGUCCCAUUGAUUUGACAGCCAAACAGCCAAAUAAACAGGCUGGCAAACAAGCGAGUGAGUCAACAAAGGCCCAGGACUCUGCAUUUUUUGCGAGUGCGCAUUUCCGCUAAGCAAAACAAAAAACGGAACGGAGGAAACUUUGGGAAAAUGGGUAAACAGCCGAACGGUGCGCUUAUCCGACAUCUGCGAUAUGCGAUUCAUCACCUUUGUGACGGGCCCAAUUCAAUCAGCGCUCAACUGAAACUGAAACUGAAACCGAGACCAAAAGGGCCAGGGAUUAGCUCUCCGUGUUUAUUAAAAGCAGCCGUGAAUGGAAUUCAGAUGACUAUCAAAGGGCUUAGUUACGCAGUAGCCUGAUGAUAAUAUUGGCAGUGCCGAGUGUUGCAUCCGAGGGCCGGAUGUCGAUUUCCAAAUCGCAAAUCUGCGCACUGCACCUGAGAUCAGCGGAAAGCGAUAGAAGAGGUUUAUUUGCAGCGACGACGUGCAAACAGGUAACACAAUUGGCACUUGAUAUACCGAGCCGAAAAAGCAGUCCAAGAUAAUGUUUUCCUAGUCUGCCUUGAACACCCAUGCAGCUAAUGUUAAUAUCAUAAAUUUAUUUGCAAGUAUGUAUUAUACUCCAGGACACUCUGAUCUUUUUCAUUUCAGUCGCCAUUGAAAGGAAUGGGAAAGAAAUGGGUUAACAAUAGAUUUUAAAAUGUAUUUUUCGAAGCCAUCCACAAAAUAAAAAGAAAAAAUCAGUGCAUAU
ensembl:ncRNA lncRNA:CR44710 long non-coding RNA:CR44710